AAGACCUUGCACUUUUGGAGCGGCCGAUGUCUGAUUAGCUAGUUGGUGGGGUAAUGGCCUACCAAAGCUUCGAUCAGUAGCUGGUCUGAGAGGACGGCCAGCCACACUGGGACUGAGACACGGCCCAGACUCCUACGGGAGGCAGCAGUGGGGAAUUUUGGACAAUGGGGGCAACCCUGAUCCAGCCAUGCCGCGUGAGUGAAGAAGGCCUUCGGGUUGUAAAGCUCUUUCAGUCGGGAAGAAAAGGUUGUGACUAAUAAUUGCAAUUCAUGACGGUACCGACAGAAGAAGCACCGGCUAACUACGUGCCAGCAGCCGCGGUAAUACGUAGGGUGCGAGCGUUAAUCGGAAUUACUGGGCGUAAAGGGUGCGCAGGCGGUCUUGUAAGUCAGAUGUGAAAUCCCCGGGCUUAACCUGGGAACU
rnacentral:rRNA from 1 species